rnacentral:rRNA from 1 species
GCAAGUCGAACGGAGUUAUAAGAGUAGUAAUACAAUUAUAAUUUAGUGGCGAACGGGUGCGUAACACGUGAGCAAUCUGCCGGGAAGUGUGGGAUAGCUCGCCGAAAGGCGAAUUAAUACCGCAUGUGGCUAGGGGUGACAUCACUCUGAAGCCAAAGUCGCAAGACGCUUCCUGAUGAGCUCGCGGCCUAUCAGCUAGUUGGUGAGGUAACGGCUCACCAAGGCAAUGACGGGUAGCUGGUCUGAGAGGACGACCAGCCACACUGGAACUGAGACACGGUCCAGACACCUACGGGUGGCAGCAGUCGAGAAUUUUUCACAAUGGGGGAAACCCUGAUGGAGCGACGCCGCGUGGAGGACGAAGGUCUUCGGAUUGUAAACUCCUGUCAUGCGGGAACAAGAAAGUGAUAGUACUGCAAGAGGAAGAGACGGCUAACUCUGUGCCAGCAGCCGCGGUAAUACAGAGGUCUCAAGCGUUGUUCGGAUUCAUUGGGCGUAAAGGGUGCGUAGGUGGCGUGGAAAGUUGAGUGUGAAAUCCUAGGGCUUAACCUUAGAACUGCACUCAAUACUCCCAUGCUAGAGGAAUGUAGAGGAGAGUGGAAUUCACGGUGUAGCAGUGAAAUGCGUAGAUAUCGUGAGGAAGACCAGUUGCGAAGGCGACUCUCUGGGCAUCUCCUGACACUGAGGCACGAAGGCUAGGGGAGCAAACGGGAUUAGAUACCCCGGUAGUCCUAGCAGUAAACGGUGCACGUUUGGUGUGGGCAGGCUCAGACCCUGUCCGUGCCGGAGCUAACGCGUUAAACGUGCCGCCUGGGAAGUACGGUCGCAAGAUUAAAAC